rnacentral:rRNA from 1 species
GUGGGGAAUUUUGGACAAUGGGCGCAAGCCUGAUCCAGCAAUGCCGCGUGCAGGAAGAAGGCCUUCGGGUUGUAAACUGCUUUUGUACGGAACGAAACGGUCCUGGCUAAUAUCCGGGGCUAAUGACGGUACCGUAAGAAUAAGCACCGGCUAACUACGUGCCAGCAGCCGCGGUAAUACGUAGGGUGCGAGCGUUAAUCGGAAUUACUGGGCGUAAAGCGUGCGCAGGCGGUGCUGUAAGACAGGCGUGAAAUCCCCGGGCUCAACCUGGGAAUUGCGGUUGGGACUGCAGUGCUGGAGUGCGGCAGAGGGGGAUGGAAUUCCGCGUGUAGCAGUGAAAUGCGUAGAUAUGCGGAGGAACACCGAUGGCGAAGGCAAUCCCCUGGGCCUGCACUGACGCUCAUGCACGAAAGCGUGGGGAGCAAACAGGAUUAGAAACCCUAGUAGUCC